rnacentral:rRNA from 1 species
AGUGAACGCUGGCGGUAGGCCUAACACAUGCAAGUCGAACGGCAGCACAGUAAGAGCUUGCUCUUACGGGUGGCGAGUGGCGGACGGGUGAGGAAUACAUCGGAAUCUACUUUUUCGUGGGGGAUAACGUAGGGAAACUUACGCUAAUACCGCAUACGACCUACGGGUGAAAGCAGUGGAUCUUCGGACCUUGCGCGAUUGAAUGAGCCGAUGUCGGAUUAGCUAGUUGGCGGGGUAAAGGCCCACCAAGGCGACGAUCCGUAGCUGGUCUGAGAGGAUGAUCAGCCACACUGGAACUGAGACACGGUCCAGACUCCUGCGGGAGGCAGCAGUGGGGAAUAUUGGACAAUGGGCGCAAGCCUGAUCCAGCCAUACCGCGUGGGUGAAGAAGGCCUUCGGGUUGUAAAGCCCUUUUGUUGGGAAAGAAAAGCAGCAGGUUAAUACCCCGCUGUUCUGACGGUACCCAAAGAAUAAGCACCGGCUAACUUCGUG